rnacentral:rRNA from 1 species
CCUACGUGAGGCAGCAGUGGGGAAUAUUGCGCAAUGGGCGAAAGCCUGACGCAGCGACGCCGCGUGAGGGAUGAAGGUCUUCGGAUCGUAAACCUCUGUCAGCAGGGAAGAACGGUCACUGUGCUAAUCAGCAGUGAAUUGACGGUACCUGCAAAGGAAGCACCGGCUAACUCCGUGCCAGCAGCCGCGGUAAUACGGAGGGUGCGAGCGUUAAUCGGAAUUACUGGGCGUAAAGCGCUCGUAGGCGGUAUGCCAAGUCAAGGGUGAAAUCCCCGCGCUCAACGUGGGAACUGCCUUUGAAACUGGCAAACUGGAGUGUGUGAGUGGAUAGUGGAAUUCCAGGUGUAGGAGUGAAAUCCGUAGAUAUCUGGAGGAACAUCAGUGGCGAAGGCGACUAUCUGGCACAUAACUGACGCUGAGGAGCGAAAGCGUGGGUAGCAAACAGGAUUAGAUACCCCGGUAGUC